GUGCUCACUUCCUCAGUGCACAUGCUAACAUUGGAGCAAUACAGGGAAGAUUAGCAUGGCCCCUGUGCCAGGACGACAUGCAGGCUCAUGGAAUGUUCAAUAUUUUA
ensembl:snRNA U6 U6 spliceosomal RNA